rnacentral:misc_RNA from 1 species
AUUCUGUCGUCUAUACAUUGAGGCCGAAAGCACCGUGAGUUGAGUUUGAGAAGAAAACACUACAAGUCGAGGAGAUUAUGGCGGCCAAUUUUAAGGUGUUGACGGAAGAUUCCCAAUUCCAGACGGAGUUGAAUCAGGCGGGAGGCAAGCUUGUGGUGGCUGAUUUCACUUCGGCCAGAUGUGGUCCAUGCCAGCGUAUAGCACCUGUCUUUGCAGACAUGGCAGGGAGAUUCCCCAAUGCCGUGUUCCUCAAGAUAGACGUCAACCAGUGCUCGGGGGCUGCUGCAUCCCAGGGUGUGUCAGCAACACCAACAUUCAUCUUUUACAGGAAUAAGACGAAGUUGGACAGCUUACAGGGCGCAGACCCAGAGACGCUGAAAGCCAGAGUGAGCCAACACUAUGGGGAUGGAGACAACGAGGAAAUGGAAGACUCAGGUGUUCCUGGCCAUAUUGACCUCCUCCCCAUGGUGAACAAAGCAGGUUGCGAGUGUCUCAACGAGAGUGACGACCACCCCUUCACGCAGGCACUCAACUCAGCUGGAGGUUACCUGGAGUCAGACACAGAUGAGCAGCUCAUCCUCUACCUCUCCUUUAACCAAGCGGUGAAACUACACAGUAUGAGAAUCAAGGCCCCAGCUGACUGUGGUCCAAAGACGAUAAAGGUUUUCAUCAAUCAGCCACAUACCAUCGACUUUGACACAGCGGAGAGUGCCAAUCCCAUCCAGGAGAUAACGUUAUCUCCCAAGGACUUAGAAGGUGAAUUAAUUACUCUUAAAUAUGUAAAGCUGCAGAAUGUGAUGAAUUUUACCAUCUUCAUUAAAGACAACCAGACUGAAGCAGAAACAACCCAGAUAUCAUACCUGCAGAUUAUUGGUUCUCCUGUCCAGACAACCAAGAUGGCUGAUUUCAAGCGUGUAGCCGGCAAAAAGGGAGAAAGCCACUGAGAUCUUCCAGUCCAUUUUAGCAAAAAGAAAUUUCAGGUCUCCAUAUUGAAUUUGUUUAGAAUCCACUAGAGUGAAAGGGUGCAUCUGUGCUUUUUGAUCUACACAUUUUUAACUGGUGGUUGAUGCUCAACAUUUUGCAAAUGAAGACUUGAUAUAUACACUAUGCAUCAACAGAUUAUCAAUAAAUUAAUUUAAACACUAGUCCAAGAGUAUGUCAAAAGAUAAAUUGAAGACAACUGUACAAUUCCUGCAAACAAGAGAAUAAAUGUCUUAGCUUUGAAUAGUU